AGGAUUAACGCUGGCGGCGUGCCUAACACAUGCAAGUCGAACGAGGUAGCAAUACCUAGUGGCAGACGGGUGAGUAACGCGUGGUCAACCUACCGUUGAGUGGGGGAUAACUAGCCGAAAGGUUAGCUAAUACCGCAUACGAGUCUCGGGGGCAUCCCUGGGUCUUAAAAGGAGCAAUCCGCUCGAUGACGGGACCGCGUCCCAUUAGCUAGAUGGUGGGGUAAUGGCCUACCAUGGCUCCGAUGGGUAGCUGGUUUGAGAGAGCGACCAGCCACACUGGGACUGAGAAACGGCCCAGACUCCUACGGGAGGCAGCAGUGAGGAAUCUUCCGCAAUGGGGGCAACCCUGACGGAGCAACGCCGCGUGCAGGAGGACGCUUUUCGGAGUGUAAACUGCUUUUCUCGAGGAAGAACCGGACGGUACUCGAGGAAGAAGCCCCGGCUAACUACGCGCCAGCAGCCGC
rnacentral:rRNA from 1 species